rnacentral:rRNA from 1 species
AUGAUCCAUCCAAAGAAGCUUGCUCAGCUGGCCAAGAAGUGCCAGCGGAUGUUGGUGGCCGGAGCCGGUGCCCGCCGCCAGCAGGCUUCAGACACGGCUGAUGAUGAAUGCUGCAGCACAACAUCAUCUGUGGUCGCUGAUGAGGGCCACUGCAUGGUGUACGCCGCCAACGGAGCACGGUUCGAGGUCCCUCUUGCGUACCUCGGGCCGACGGUCUUCGCCGAGCUUCUGAGGAUGUCAGAGGAGGAGUUUGGCUUUGCAAGCGGCAGCGAGGGAGGCAGGAUCAUGCUGCCCUGCGACUCCACGGUGAUGGAGUAUGUCUUGUGCCUUGUCAGGAGAGAGGCCUCUGAGGAGGUCGAGAAGGCAUUCUUGAGCUCCAUUUCUGGGCACUGCCACAACUACAAUUGCUAG